UCUCUGCUCACUGGUCAUCCUGAUGUCUCUC
rnacentral:piRNA from 1 species